rnacentral:rRNA from 1 species
GAUGAACGCUGGCGGCGUGCCUAAUACAUGCAAGUCGAGCGAACAGAUGAGGAGCUUGCUCCUCUGACGUUAGCGGCGGACGGGUGAGUAACACGUGGAUAACCUACCUAUAAGACUGGGAUAACUUCGGGAAACCGGAGCUAAUACCGGAUAAUAUAUUGAACCGCAUGGUUCAAUAGUGAAAGACGGUUUUGCUGUCACUUAUAGAUGGAUCCGCGCCGCAUUAGCUAGUUGGUAAGGUAACGGCUUACCAAGGCAACGAUGCGUAGCCGUCCUGAGAGGGUGAACGGCCACACUGGAACUGAGACACGGUCCAGACUCCUACGGGAGGCAGCAGUAGGGAAUCUUCCGCAAUGGGCGAAAGCCUGACGGAGCAACGCCGCGUGAGUGAUGAAGGUCUUCGGAUCGUAAAACUCUGUUAUUAGGGAAGAACAAAUGUGUAAGUAACUAUGCACGUCUUGACGGUACCUAAUCAGAAAGCCACGGCUAACUACGUG